rnacentral:rRNA from 1 species
UACGUAGGGUGCGAGCGUUAAUCGGAAUUACUGGGCGUAAAGCGUGCGCAGGCGGUUUUGUAAGCCAGAUGUGAAAUCCCCGGGCUCAACCUGGGAAUGGCAUUUGGGACUGCAAGGCUGGAGUUUGGCAGAGGAGACUGGAAUUCCUGGUGUAGCAGUGAAAUGCGUAGAUAUCAGGAGGAACACCGGUGGCGAAGGCGCUGCUCUGGGCCGAAACUGACGCUGAGGAGCGAAAGCGUGGGUAGCAAACAGG